AUACAGAGGGUGCAAGCGUUAAUCGGAAUUACUGGGCGUAAAGCGCGCGUAGGCGGUUUGUUAAGUUGGAUGUGAAAGCCCCGGGCUUAACCUGGGAGGGUCAUUCAAAACUGGCAGACUAGAGUGUGGUAGAGGGUAGUGGAGUUCCUAGUGUAGCGGUGAAAUGCGUAGAGAUUAGGAGGAACACCAGUGGCGAAGGCGACUGCCUGGACCUACACUGACGCUGAGGUGCGAAAGCGUGGGUAGCGAACAGGAUUAGAUACCCUAGUAGUCC
rnacentral:rRNA from 1 species